UGCCUUUCCAAUAAGCGGAGGAAAAGAAACCAACAGGGAUUGCCCUAGUAACGGCGAGUGAAGCGGCAACAGCUCAAAUUUGAAAGCUGGCCUUCGGGUCCGCAUUGUAAUUUGUAGAGGAUGCUUUGGGUAAAACGCCAGUCUAAGUUCCUUGGAACAGGACGUCAUAGAGGGUGAGAAUCCCGUAUGUGACUGGAAAUGUUAACCUAUGUAAAGCUCCUUCGACGAGUCGAGUUGUUUGGGAAUGCAGCUCUAAAUGGGAGGUAAAUUUCUUCUAAAGCUAAAUAUUGGCGAGAGACCGAUAGCGCACAAGUAGAGUGAUCGAAAGAUGAAAAGCACUUUGGAAAGAGAGUUAAAAAGCACGUGAAAUUGUUGAAAGGGAAGCGCUUGCAAUCAGACUUGUUUAAACUGUUCGGCCGGUCUUCUGACCGGUUUACUCAGUUUGGACAGGCCAGCAUCAGUUUCGGCGGCCGGAUAAAGGCUCUGGGAAUGUGACCUCCACUUCGGUGGAGGUGUUAUAGCCCAGUGUGUAAUACGGCCAGCCGGGACUGAGGUCCGCGCUUCGGCUAGGAUGCUGGCGUAAUGGUUGUAAGCGACCCGUCUUGAAACACGGGACCA
rnacentral:rRNA from 1 species